GCACCUGCCGGCUGUGCCGCCCUUGAAAAAUCCCACCACCUUCCUCGCCCUCCAGGCCUCCACUCAUUCCUGCCCCCGACACUCCCACUGCCACCAGUCCUCUCACCGCCAGGCGCGGCACAAUGCAGCCGCCUACCCUUCUCCCGCUAGGCGCCGUCGUGGUCGCCAUCCUCCUGCUCGCCACCGCCCCGAGCCCCGCCGUCUCCCGCCACCGCCACUCGUCCGCCGCGGACACGGAGACGCUCGAUGUAGCCGCCUCGCUCUCCCGCGCCCGCGCCGCGCUCUCCACCGACGCCGUCUCGCUGCACCAGUCCGCGGCCGCCGCCGCCGGGGCGAAGCGCUCCCCGCGAGCGCGGGAGGGCGGCCUCACGCUGCGGCUCCACUCCCGGGACUUCCUGCCCGAGGAGCAGGGGCGGCACGAGACGUACCGCUCGCUCGUGCUCUCCCGCCUCCGCCGCGACUCGGCGCGCGCCGCGGCGGUGUCGGCCCGCGCGACGCUGGCGGCGGACGGCGUGACCCGGCUGGACCUGCGCCCCGCGAACGGGUCGGCGGUGUUCGCGGCGUCCGCGGCGAUCCAGGGCCCCGUGGUGUCCGGCGUCGGGCAGGGCAGCGGCGAGUACUUCUCCCGCGUGGGCAUCGGCAGCCCCGCGCGGCAGCUGUACAUGGUGCUGGACACCGGCAGCGACGUCACCUGGGUGCAGUGCCAGCCCUGCGCCGACUGCUACCAGCAGUCCGACCCGGUGUUCGACCCGUCGCUCUCCGCCUCCUACGCCGCCGUCUCCUGCGACUCCCAGCGCUGCCGGGACCUGGACACCGCGGCGUGCCGCAACGCCACGGGCGCCUGCCUCUACGAGGUGGCCUACGGCGACGGCUCCUACACCGUGGGCGACUUCGCCACCGAGACGCUCACGCUGGGGGACUCCACCCCGGUCGGCAACGUCGCCAUCGGGUGCGGCCACGACAACGAGGGCCUCUUCGUCGGCGCCGCGGGGCUGCUGGCGCUGGGCGGCGGGCCGCUCUCCUUCCCGUCCCAGAUCUCCGCGUCCACCUUCUCCUACUGCCUCGUGGACCGCGACUCCCCGGCCGCGUCCACGCUCCAGUUCGGCGACGGCGCCGCCGAGGCGGGCACCGUGACGGCGCCUCUCGUGCGCAGCCCGCGCACGAGCACCUUCUACUACGUGGCGCUGUCGGGCAUCUCGGUGGGCGGGCAGCCGCUGUCCAUCCCGGCCUCCGCCUUCGCCAUGGACGCCACGUCGGGCUCGGGCGGCGUCAUCGUGGACUCCGGCACCGCCGUGACGCGGCUCCAGUCCGCCGCCUACGCGGCGCUCCGCGACGCCUUCGUCCAGGGCGCGCCGUCGCUGCCCCGGACCUCCGGGGUGUCGCUGUUCGACACGUGCUACGACCUGUCGGACCGGACGAGCGUGGAGGUGCCCGCGGUGUCGCUGCGGUUCGAGGGCGGCGGCGCGCUGCGGCUGCCGGCGAAGAACUACCUGAUCCCCGUGGACGGAGCCGGCACCUACUGCCUGGCGUUCGCGCCGACGAACGCGGCCGUGUCCAUCAUCGGGAACGUGCAGCAGCAGGGCACCCGCGUCAGCUUCGACACCGCCAGGGGCGCCGUCGGCUUCACCCCCAACAAGUGCUAGCCUAGCCUAGCCUAAGCCUGCCUUCUGGCUAACCGUGCCCUGUUAGCCACGGUUGUCAGUAGUAAUGACAAGCCGGUGUUUAAUUAGCGGGAGAAUGAUUAGAUGGGGUAAUUAAGCGGUGGGCCCUGCCGGGUCUGGGGAGGAGCGAAAGGCAAAGGCGAGGACAGAUGAUGCCAUUGCCAUGCCAGCCUGUGUCCGGCGCGAUGGGUCCAGCUCCAGCAGUGUUUCUCUCUUUCUCUCGAGUAUGCGUGCGUGGAGCCUUGUCAUGACGAAUUAGAUCGUGGGGGCUCCCAAGUUAAGAGUAUUUAUUUUUAUUUUAUUUGCUAUGUCAAGAAAAUGGAAGUUUCCAUCCAGCGGAAAAGAUCACACAUGCAUGCUUUUCCCUCCCUCUGGGCCGUGCAUGUACACCACUGGGUUGGCACAGGACAGCAAUUGGUAGAGCGAAGCGGUGUCGUCGGCGGCGCCUCUUCUCAUGGGACCCUGGUAAACUUUGCUAGGCACCGGCCGGGAUUGCGUCAGGCUGGCUGUUGCUUUUAACCUCCUUCCUACUAGCACGGCUUUACGCCACGCAACUUCACUCGUGCUUUCCUCCACAAACAUCGCCGGAACUGAUAGAGAGUAUUCGCUGCCAAGUGCGAACUUCGCACAGAAUUCUUUUUAUAUAAAAUCAGAAGUUACC
rnacentral:misc_RNA from 1 species